rnacentral:rRNA from 1 species
AGUGAACGCUGGCGGUAGGCCUAACACAUGCAAGUCGAACGGCAGCACAGUAAGAGCUUGCUCUUACGGGUGGCGAGUGGCGGACGGGUGAGGAAUACAUCGGAAUCUACUUUUUCGUGGGGGAUAACGUAGGGAAACUUACGCUAAUACCGCAUACGACCUACGGGUGAAAGCAGGGGAUCUUCUGACCUUGCGCGAUUGAAUGAGCCGAUGUCGGAUUGGCUAGUUGGCGGGGUAAAGGCCCACCAAGGCGACGAUCCGUAGCUGGUCUGAGAGGAUGAUCAGCCACACUGGAACUGAGACACGGUCCAGACUCCUACGGGAGGCAGCAGUGGGGAAUAUUGGACAAUGGGCGCAAGCCUGAUCCAGCCAUACCGCGUGGGUGAAGAAGGCCUUCGGGUUGUAAAGCCCUUUUGUUGGGAAAGAAAAGCAGCAGGUUAAUACCCCGCUGUUCUGACGGUACCCAAAGAAUAAGCACCGGCUAACUUCGUG